rnacentral:tmRNA from 1 species
CACCUUGCGAUUUUGCGCAAAGGUCCUAUAUCGGUUCUACCGGACUUCGGUCCGGCUAUGGCGAUAAAUGGCGUCGUGAAAUAGAUGCAGCGGACCCGGGGGCAGUACCCGGCGGCUCCACCAUAUCUCCCCGGUUAUCGCGGGAUGUCUGGGGCCGAACCAGGAUCGACGUGUGUUGAAAGACGAACGCUUUUGCCCGGCAUGAAUAAGCCGUUAAAUGUUUCAAAACACCUAAAUGCCAACGAUAACGAGGCAUUCGCAAUCGCAGCGUAACCUAAAGUCCUCACGGACUUAGUUACACUGGCCGAAAGCGCGGUACGGGCCACACCGGGCAACAGAAGUGGAAACCGGCGGUACGGGGAGCACCGGGCAACAGAAGGUCCCCACU